rnacentral:rRNA from 1 species
UACAGAGGGGGCAAGCGUUAUUCGGAAUUAUUGGGCGUAAAGGGCGCGUAGGCGGCUUUGCAAGUGACGGGUGAAAUCCCUCGGCUUAACCGAGGAACUGCCUGUCAAACUGCAUGGCUUGAGACCGGGAGAGGUGAGUGGAAUUCCCAGUGUAGCGGUGAAAUGCGUAGAUAUUGGGAGGAACACCAGUGGCGAAGGCGGCUCACUGGACCGGUUCUGACGCUGAGGCGCGAAAGCGUGGGGAGCAAACAGG